UACAGAAGGUGCGAGCGUUAAUCGGAAUUACUGGGCGUAAAGGGUGCGUAGGUGGUUUUGUAAGUUAGGUGUGAAAGUCCCGGGCUUAACCUGGGGAUUGCGCCUGAUACUGCAAAGCUAGAGUACUGUAGAGGAAAGUGGAAUUUCCAGUGUAGCGGUGAAAUGCGUAGAUAUUGGAAAGGAACAUCAGUGGCGAAGGCGACUUUUCUGGACAGAUACUGACACUGAGGCACGAAAAGCGUGGGGAGCAAACAGG
rnacentral:rRNA from 1 species